UACGUAGGUGGCAAGCGUUUGUCCGGAAUUAUUGGGCGUAAAGCGCGCGCAGGCGGCCUUUUAAGUCUGAUGUGAAAGCCCACGGCUCAACCGUGGAAGGUCAUUGGAAACUGAAAGGCUUGAGUACAGAAGAGAAAAGCGGAAUUCCACGUGUAGCGGUGAAAUGCGUAGAGAUGUGGAGGAACACCAGUGGCGAAGGCGGCUUUCUGGUCUGUAACUGACGCUGAGGCGCGAAAGCGUGGGGAGCAAACGGG
rnacentral:rRNA from 1 species